rnacentral:rRNA from 1 species
AUUCCAGCUCCAAGAGCGUAUAUUAAAGUUGUUGCUGUUAAAAAGCUCGUAGUUGGAUUUCUGGUACAAUGCGCCUGGCCCGCGACGGUUACGUCUGUGAGUGCCGGUGCGCGUUUGCCAUCCUUCUAGAAAACGUUUCUACCCUUCGCUGGGCCGGAUUCGCGAUCUAGAUCUUUUACUUUGAAAAAAUUAGAGUGUUUAAAGCAGGCUUUUGCUAUGAAUACAUUAGCAUGGAAUAAUAAUCUAGGACUUCGGUUCUAUUUUGUUGGUUUCUAGUACUGAAGUAAUGAUUGAUAGGGAUAGUUGGGGGUGCUAGUAUUGAGCGGCCAGAGGUGAAAUUCUUGGAUUCGCUCAAGACUAACUUAUGCGAAAGCAUUCACCAAGGAUGUCUUCAUCA